AAAAAAAGGAGGAAGGGGGAUGGGGGGUGGAGAGAUGUAAUGCAGCUUUCCAGAACGAGAAGUUCUCUCCCCGGUUUACAUUUUUCAACUCAUUGACGUAUGUGAAAGAAAAAACAAGUGAUAAAUUCUCAACCUCAGCAUACAUUUCAGGCCAUCACUCCUAAUUAUUUCUAUCAGUCCUAUUGUCAGUUGCACUCCCUUACCGGCCUCCCCCAACCUAAAAGUGAUACUUUCCAAGUUUUUAGCAGUUUAAUGAAGCAGCAUUUUUGUAGACCCAAUUCGCAGGUGCAGCAGAGGCCUUGGCAAGGGGCAAACUGAUUAUCACUUAUGAAAACAGCCACACUGUAUUGUUCAUACUUCUUCAAGGUCUUGAGCAAAGCAUAAAUUCUGAUGAAAAUGAACUGGGUGCAGUCAGAGAUUGAGACAGCUAAUAAGGUUCCCUCUCUGCACCCUUGCCAGCUGGGGAAUUUCCAUUACUUUUGCUCGUUGUUCCUUUUUCCUAUGCAUAUACUUCUUUGAGAAUUGGAUCUAAAGAGGCAUAGGGCAUGGGAAAAUGGGGCGACUGAGGUACUCCACCAGUCACCCUGAGAAGCAUUGCUAGGAGGCAUGUAAGAAAAAUGCACUGAAAGUCACAGGUAUAAAGAAACAGAGGUUUUAUUGCAAAACACUUAUUGUGAAGAAAAUGCUUAUGAAUAGUAAUAUGUGAGAAAUUGAUAUAAUCUUUAUUAGGGCAGCAUAGCUGAAAGUUUAUUGCAUGUUAAAGUUGCUUUUUAAUGUGUUAUGAGAAUAGUAUGUUGUUCUUAUCUGUUGUCCAAAUACAAGAAUCAGUAUAUCUAGUAGAGAUUAAGCUUUUAAUAAAAUAUGUUACUGUUUCUAUAGUCUACACUUAAGCAAAGGUCCCAUUAAAAUUAAUUGCAAUUUUGUCUGUACAGUAUAAGGCUGCAGGUGUAGGCACUUUGGGUCUGAUCCAAAGCCUGUUGAAAUCACUGGAAGUCAUUCCACUGAGUUCAACAAGCAUUGAAAAUCAGCCCCAAUCAUGCCACUGAUAUUUGUACUAGUUGUCUUUAAUAAGACUGUUCAGGUGAGCAAGUUUGGGGGGACUUUUACCCAAUGCUGCAAAAGGCUAAGUGCCUUCUGUAAGGUGCUGGGGAUCUACAACCCCCACUGAAAGUAUCAACUGGUCUAAUAAAAGGUAUCAUCAUCUCUGAACCAAGAAUUCUACAGUUUUGCAUUUCUUUUUGUCUCAGACCAACGUGGCUACCAAAUAUAUCCUUUGCAUUAUCAAGCAUUUAGUUAGAAACAAAAGAAGACACAUGUUAUAUAUAAACCCUUACUUUUUCUUUGUUUCAUCCACAGAUAUCUUGGAAGUUGGACCUAUUCUCCUGAUUACUGUUUUUCAGGCAGAAUACAUAAAAAAAAAUCCAUUCUUUGUGCUGCUUUUUAUAUUUAUAGUCGUUUAGUCUACAUGGAAAUAUUUCUGAGAAAGAGAACAUUAAAAAGAACCUUGAAUUAAUUUGAAUUGAAACAAAUACUAAGUUGUAUGCGCUACAAGUCAAAUGAAUCUAAUGUGCAGUCAUACAGCGAAAUAUGGUAUCACAAAUUCUAACAAUAUUUGUUUAUUGCUACAUGCUUAGACAGGGUAGUGCAUAUUACACUGCAUUUCAUGUUAACAUAUACUAUUAUAACAUCAUAUUAUACAGGCUAAUUUAAACUAAUAUUCAGUAUUGAGCUACUGUUUUAAUUGCUUUUAAUCUGAUAAGGUAUUAGAGAACUUUCAUUUUACUUAUGAGUUCUUUUCCAUAAAUUAAAAGGUAAUAAAAAAAUUCUAUCCAUA